GGAGUUUGGACCGUGUCUCAGUUCCAAUGUGGGGGACCUUCCUCUCAGAACCCCUACUGAUCGUCGGCUAGGUGGGCCGUUACCCCGCCUACUACCUAAUCAGACGCAUCCCCAUCCAUAAGCGAUAAAUCUUUAUUCCAUCUCAGAUGUCUUUAAUGGAAACCAUAGGGCAUUAAUCUUACUUUCGCAAGGCUAUUCCCUACUUAUGGGCAGGUUGGAUACGCGAUACUCACCCGUGCGCCGGUCGCCAUCACAGAUAGCAAGCUACCUGCAUGCUGCCCCUCGACUUGCAUGUGUUAAGCCUGUAGCUAGCGUUCAUC
rnacentral:rRNA from 1 species